CCGGCAUGGUUUCUUGCUUUCUACAAGUGUUUUAUGAAAUUUUAAAAAAUGAGUUCAAUUCUUCAACGUUGCUGUGUACCUCAGUGCGAUGAUACAUGUUCAAAGCGGUGUACACUUCCUAGAAAUGAUAAGUUGAGAAGCAUUUGGAUCAGGCGGACUGCAUGUGAACAUUUAUUGGCAAAAUGGAAAUUUCGUAGAAGAUUUGUGUCCAGACAUUUUCACGAUGUGUGUUUCAAGACAAACUGGAGACUAUUACUAAAUUGUCUCCCAACAAAAUACCUUCCAGGUGCCGCUUCCAAGGAAAAUAGCUUCUUCUAUCGAGAGGAUGUAUCAUAUCCUAAGGCACGAGGAAACCCGUGAAAAAGAUUUCGGCAGUCAGGCACGUCCUUCGCCAAGUCGAGUCCGCUAGACUCGGU